rnacentral:rRNA from 1 species
UACGUAGGAGGCGAGCGUUGUCCGGAAUUACUGGGCGUAAAGCGUGCGCAGGCGGCUAUGCAAGACAGGUGUGACAUCCCCGGGCUCAACCUGGGAACUGCAUUUGUGACUGCAUGGCUAGAGUACGGUAGAGGGGGAUGGAAUUCCGCGUGUAGCAGUGAAAUGCGUAGAUAUGCGGAGGAACACCGAUGGCGAAGGCAAUCCCCUGGACCUGUACUGACGCUCAUGCACGAAAGCGUGGGGAGCAAACAGG